CCCGUGCUCCCGGGCCCCCCACGAUCCCGCAGACGGGGUGUCCCCGAGGACUGGGAGAGGACGGAGACGGCGGGGAUGGGAAGAAGAGUCGGAGGCACAGGAAGUACUCAACAAACCCUAGCAGAAUCAACAAGAGUUCCAGCAUGCAGCUGACCACUCCCUAUACCAAAGGCUGUUUCUGAAGUGGCACCAAGUUUGUUAGAGAAGGAGCAGAGCUACAAGUCCCGGAGCCAGACCACAGAGGCAGACAGGUUCCUCCGAACUGGGUUGUGCCGGGAAGGCAGCUGCUGUUUACCCUGCCUGUCACAGACACAGCUACUGCUCUAUGUCAGCUGUCAGCCACAGAACAGGUCUCCACACACAGAAAAACAAGGAUGACCUCUGUUGCAGAAAAAGCAAAACACAGUAGUGUUGGGGAGCUUUACAGUAAGUUCUCUUGCAGAAAGGCAAGCUAUAGAACAAAGGUGAUGGACAUGGUGAAACAGCCAAUCAAACAGCUCUGUGUACAGGUUACUUACCUCUUAUGACCGUUUGACCCCUUUCUCAGUUCUGUCCAAUCUAAAUCUUGACUUUGAAUACAAAGGCCAGGACUGUUCCUAUUUCCCAGCACAAUAAACACCACAGCCAUAGUUCUUAUCGCUAGCUCUCAUCUACACCUGAUAAUUAUCUCACCUGUCUCCAAUUGCUGACUACUAAGCGCUAACCUGAUUAAUCACCACAGCACAUAUUUAUUGAGGACCAAACUUUAAUAUUUCAAGGGCACCCCAAAUGAGUUACUGGUGGGGUUACAUAACCUUUCAUUCAUGCCACCAAACCAAGAUUCAUGAAUUCUGAAAGUUAAAGUUGAUUACCUCUUUGGAUACAUAAAAAAUAUAUAUAUUAAAGCAUGUCACACAGUGCAAAAAAAAAAAAAAAAAAAAAAA
rnacentral:lncRNA from 1 species